rnacentral:rRNA from 1 species
CCUACGGGGUGCAGCAGGCGCGAAAACUUCGCAAUGUGGGCAACCACGACGAGGGAACGCCAAGUGCCAGCACUUAGUGUUGGCUUUUUUCAUACCUAAAAAGUAUGAAGAAUAAGGGCUGGGUAAGACGGGUGCCAGCCGCCGCGGUAAUACCCGCAGCCCAAGUGGUGAUCGUUAUUAUUGGGCCUAAAACGUCCGUAGCCGGUUCAGUAAAUCUUUGGGUAAAUCGACUGGCUCAACCAGCCGAAUUCCGGAGAGACUGCUGAACUAGGGACCGGUGAGGGGUGGAGGUACUUCAAGGGGAGGGGUGAAAACCUUAAUCCCUUGGAGGACCACCGUGGCGAAGGCGUUCAACCUAGAACGGCUCCGACGGUGAGGGACGAACCCUGGGGCGCAAACGGGAUUAGAUACCCCGGUAGUCCAGGGCGUAAACGCUGCNUGGUUGGUGUUGGAUGUCUUACGAGGGCAUUCAGUGCCGUAGAGAAGUUGUUAAACCUGCUGCCUGGGGAGUACGAUCGCAAGAUUGAAACUUAAAGGAAUUGGCGGGGGAGCACCGCAACGGGUGGAGCGUGCGGUUUAAUUGGAUUCAACGCCGGAAAACUCACCAGGGGAGACUGCCGCAUGAGAGUCAGGCUGAAGACCUUACUCGAUUAAAAGGUAGAGAGGUGGUGCAUGGCCGUCGUCAGUUCGUACUGUAAAGCGUUCUGUUAAGUCAGAUUACGGACGAGACCCUUCCCUGUUAGUUGCUACUGUUAUCUCCGGAUAGCAGGCACACUAAUGGGACCGCUGGCGCAAAGUCAGAGGAAGGUGAGGGCGACGGUAGGUCAGUAUGCCCUGAAUCCCCAUGGGCCACACGCGCGCUACAAAGGACAGGACAAUGGGUUUCUACUCCGAGAGGAGGUGGUAAACUCGAAACCUGCUCCAUAGUUCGGAUUGAGGGUUGCAACUCACCCUCAUGAAGCUGGAAUCCGUAGUAAUCGCGAGUCAACAUCUCGCGGUGAAUGCGCCACUGCUCCUUGCACACACCGCCCGUC